AAUAUUGGAUAAUGGGGGGAACCGUGAUCCAGCCAAGCCGCGUGUGUGAAGAAGGUCGUCGGAUUGUAAAGCACUUUCAGUUGGGAGGAAGAAUUGUAGGCUAAUACCUUGCAAUUUUGACGUUACCGACAGACUAAGCACCGGCUAGCUUCGUGCCAGCAGCCGCGGUAAUACGAAGGGUGCAAGCGGUAAUCGGAAUUACUGGGCGUAAAGCUCGCGUAGGUGGUUUGUUAAGUUGGAAGUGAAAGCCCCAGGCUCAACCUGGGAACUGCUUUCAAAACUGGCAAGCUAGAGUAAGGCAGAGGGGUGUGUAAUUUCCAGUGUAGCGGUGAAAUGCGUAGAUAUAGGAAGGAACACCAGUGGCGAAGGCGACCACCUGGGCUAAAACUGACACUGAAGUGCGAAAGCGUGGGGAGCAAACAGG
rnacentral:rRNA from 1 species